UCUUGCGCAAUGGGCGAAAGCCUGACGCAGCAACGCCGCGUGAGGGAAGAAGGCCUUCGGGUUGUAAACCUCUUUCAGGAGGGAUCGAAGCCACCAGGGUUAAUAGCCUAUGGGGUGACGGUACCUUCAGAAGAAGCCCCGGCUAACUACGUGCCAGCAGCCGCGGUAAUACGUAGGGGGCAAGCGUUGUCCGGAAUCAUUGGGCGUAAAGAGCCCGCAGGCGGCCUGUUAAGUUUCAGGUGAAAUCUCCCGGCUCAACUGGAGGGGUCCUGAAAACUGGCAGGCUUAGGCAGGAGAGGGAUGUGAAUUCCCGGUGAGUGGUAAAUGCGAGUUCGGAGAACACCAGUGGCAAGGCGGAUCCUGGCCCUUCCUGCGUCAGGCAGUCGUCU
rnacentral:rRNA from 1 species